UACGAAGGGGGCUAGCGUUGCUCGGAAUCACUGGGCGUAAAGGGUGCGUAGGCGGGUCUUUAAGUCAGGGGGGAAAUCCUGGAGCUCAACUCCAGAACUGCCUUUGAUACUGAAGAUCUUGAGUUCGGGAGAGGUGAGUGGAACUGCGAGUGUAGAGGUGAAAUUCGUAGAUAUUCGCAUGAACACCAGUGGCGAAGGCGGCUCACUGGCCCGAUACUGACGCUGAGGCACGAAAGCGUGGGGAGCGAUCCGG
rnacentral:rRNA from 1 species